rnacentral:rRNA from 1 species
CAUUGCUGGCGGCGUGCUUAACACAUGCAAGUCGAACGAUGAACCACUUCGGUGGGGAUUAGUGGCGAACGGGUGAGUAACACGUGGGCAAUCUGCCCUUCACUCUGGGACAAGCCCUGGAAACGGGGUCUAAUACCGGAUACUGACCCUCGCAGGCAUCUGCGAGGUUCGAAAGCUCCGGCGGUGAAGGAUGAGCCCGCGGCCUAUCAGCUUGUUGGUGAGGUAAUGGCUCACCAAGGCGACGACGGGUAGCCGGCCUGAGAGGGCGACCGGCCACACUGGGACUGAGACACGGCCCAGACUCCUACGGGAGGCAGCAGUGGGGAAUAUUGCACAAUGGGCAAAGCCUGAUGCA